AAUAGUUUUUUAAUUGAAAACUGGGAUGAAUGGAGGGAUGAAAUUUAAGCUUUCUUAAGUUAAAUAAUUGAAUUUAGUAUUUAAGUAAUAAUACUUAGAUGAAUAUAUGGGACGAUAAGACCCUAUAGAAUUUUAUAUAAAUUUAUUAUAAAGUAUUAAUUUAAUAUUUAGUAAGUUUAUAUUUUAUUGGGAGGAUAAAUAAAUUUUUAAAACUUUAAAUAUAAUGAGACCAUUAAUUUAUGAUGUAAAAAAUUAAAGAGAGUGACUUGUGUUAAGUUUAAAAAGAAUUAAUUACCUUAGGGAUAACAGCAUAAUAUUUUUAGAAAGAUCUUAUUGAUAAAAAUGAUUGU
rnacentral:rRNA from 1 species